rnacentral:misc_RNA from 1 species
GUGAAUCAUCAAAUUUUUGAACGCAAAUUGCACUCUCCUCGGAGAGUAUGCCUGUUUGAGGGUCAGCCUAUAAAAAAUCGACAUCGUUGCUGUUUCGCGGUGGCGUUCGUCGGAAAUUGGGUCAUCUUAAAUCUUUUGGUUUUAAGCGACUUAAAAUUUUCUUUUUGUUUCCAUAAAGUUUUCUAGGUUUUAUUUUUUUACACUUUUAAGUUUUCGUUUUUUAUUGACCUUAACAUUAAU